rnacentral:rRNA from 1 species
GAUGAACGCUGGCGGCGUGCCUAAUACAUGCAAGUCGGGCGAACGGACGAGAAGCUUGCUUCUCUGAUGUUAGCGGCGGACGGGUGAGUAACACGUGGAUAACCUACCUAUAAGACUGGGAUAACUUCGGGAAACCGGAGCUAAUACCGGAUGAUAUUUUGAACCGCAUGGUUCAAAAGUGAAAGACGGUCUUGCUGUCACUUAUAGAUGGAUCCGCGCUGCAUUAGCUAGUUGGUAAGGUAACGGCUUACCAAGGCAACGAUGCAUAGCCGACCUGAGAGGGUGAUCGGCCACACUGGAACUGAGACACGGUCCAGACUCCUACGGGAGGCAGCAGUAGGGAAUCUUCCACAAUGGGCGAAAGCCUGACGGAGCAACGCCGCGUGAGUGAUGAAGGUCUUCGGAUCGUAAAACUCUGUUAUUAGGGAAGAACAUAUGUGUAAGUAACUGUGCACAUCUUGACGGUACCUAAUCAGAAAGCCACGGCUAACUACGUG